rnacentral:sRNA from 1 species
CAAGCAUGGAGCGGCUUUGGGGUCUAUUCCAGAGAGCGCAACAACUGUCCCCAAGAUCCUCUCAGACCGUCUACCAGCGUGUGGAAGGCCCCCGGAAAGGGCACCUGGAGGAGGAAGAGGAAGACGGGGAGGAGGGGGCGGAGACAUUGGCCCACUUCUGCCCCAUGGAGCUGAGGGGCCCUGAGCCCCUGGGCUCUAGACCCAGGCAGCCAAAUCUCAUUCCCUGGGCGGCAGCAGGACGGAGGGCUGCCCCCUACCUGGUCCUGACGGCCCUGCUGAUCUUCACUGGGGCCUUCCUACUGGGCUACGUCGCCUUCCGAGGGUCCUGCCAGGCGUGCGGAGACUCUGUGUUGGUGGUCAGUGAGGAUGUCAACUAUGAGCCUGACCUGGAUUUCCACCAGGGCAGACUCUACUGGAGCGACCUCCAGGCCAUGUUCCUGCAGUUCCUGGGGGAGGGGUGCCUGGAGGACACCAUCAGGCAAACCAGCCUUCGGGAACGGGUGGCAGGCUCGGCCGGGAUGGCCGCUCUGACUCAGGACAUUCGCGCGGCGCUCUCCCGCCAGAAGCUGGACCACGUGUGGACCGACACGCACUACGUGGGGCUGCAAUUCCCGGACCCGUGAGUGCGCGCGCGGGCGGGGAGCGCGCGGGGAGGGGGACGCGGCUCGGGGCGCUCACCAGCCCCGCUCCCCAGGGCUCACCCCAACACCCUGCACUGGGUCGAUGAGGCCGGGAAGGUCGGAGAGCAGCUGCCGCUGGAGGACCCUGACGUCUACUGCCCCUACAGCGCCAUCGGCAACGUCACGGGAGAGCUGGUGUACGCCCACUACGGGCGGCCCAAAGACCUGCAGGACCUGCGGGCCAGGGGCGUGGACCCAGUGGGCCGCCUGCUGCUGGUGCGCGUGGGGGUGAUCAGCUUCGCCCAGAAGGAAGCUCAAAGGCCCUGUGGCCCCCCAAGAAUGGCAGGGGAGCCUCCUAGGCUCCCCUUAUCACCUGGGCCCUGGGCCACGACUGCGGCUAGUGGUCAACAAUCACAGGACCUCCACCCCCAUCAACAACAUCUUCGGCUGCAUCGAAGGCCGCACAGAGCCAGAUCACUACGUUGUCAUCGGGGCCCAGAGGGAUGCAUGGGGCCCAGGAGCAGCUAAAUCCGCUGUGGGGACGGCUAUACUCCUGGAGCUGGUGCGGACCUUUUCCUCCAUGGUGAGCAACGGCUUCCGGCCCCGCAGAAGUCUCCUCUUCAUCAGCUGGGACGGUGGUGACUUUGGAAGCGUGGGCUCCACGGAGUGGCUAGAGGUGAUACGGGGUCCCGGGCAGGUCGUUAGGCAUUGGGGAGAGGUGGGGGUGGGGGGUUCCCACUCCACACUGGUCACCCACCCACAGGGCUACCUCAGCGUGCUGCACCUCAAAGCUGUAGUGUACGUGAGCCUGGACAACGCAGUGCUGGGGGAUGACAAGUUUCAUGCCAAGACCAGCCCCCUUCUGACAAGUCUCAUUGAGAGUGUCCUGAAGCAGGUGGAUUCUCCCAACCACAGUGGGCAGACUCUCUAUGAACAGGUGGUGUUCACCAAUCCCAGCUGGGAUGCUGAGGUGAUCCGGCCCCUACCCAUGGACAGCAGUGCCUAUUCCUUCACGGCCUUUGUGGGAGUCCCUGCCGUCGAGUUCUCCUUUAUGGAGGUGAGACGUCCUCCCCCUGCCCCAGACACAGCGCUAGUCCUUCAGCCUGUCUGCCUCUGCCCCAGCGUCCACCCUGUCCUGGCAGGACGACCAGGCCUACCCGUUCCUGCACACAAAGGAGGACACUUAUGAGAACCUGCAUAAGGUGCUGCAAGGCCGCCUGCCCGCCGUGGCCCAGGCCGUGGCCCAGCUCGCAGGGCAGCUCCUCAUCCGGCUCAGCCACGAUCGCCUGCUGCCCCUCGACUUCGGCCGCUACGGGGACGUCGUCCUCAGGCACAUCGGGAACCUCAACGAGUUCUCUGGGGACCUCAAGGCCCGCGGGCUGACCCUGCAGUGGGUGUACUCGGCGCGGGGGGACUACAUCCGGGCGGCGGAAAAGCUGCGGCAGGAGAUCUACAGCUCGGAGGAGAGAGACGAGCGACUGACACGCAUGUACAACGUGCGCAUAAUGCGGGUGGAGUUCUACUUCCUUUCCCAGUACGUGUCGCCAGCCGACUCCCCGUUCCGCCACAUCUUCAUGGGCCGUGGAGACCACACGCUGGGCGCCCUGCUGGACCACCUGCGGCUGCUGCGCUCCAACAGCUCUGGGACCCCCGGGGCCACCUCCUCCACUGGCUUCCAGGAGAGCCGCUUCCGGCGUCAGCUAGCCCUGCUCACCUGGACGCUGCAAGGGGCAGCCAAUGCGCUUAGCGGGGAUGUCUGGAACAUUGAUAACAACUUCUGAGGCCCUGGGGAUCCUCACAUCCCCGUCCCCCAGUCAAGAGCUCCUCUGCUCCUCGCUUGAAUGAUUCAGGGUCAGGGAGGUGGCUCAGAGUCCACCUCUCAUUGCUGAUCAAUUUCUCAUUACCCCUACACAUCUCUCCACAGAGCCCAGACCCCAGCACAGAUAUCCACACACCCCAGCCCUGCAGUGUAGCUGACCCUAAUGUGACGGUCAUACUGUCGGUUAAUCAGAGAGUAGCAUCCCUUCAAUCACAGCCCCUUCCCCUUUCUGGGGUCCUCCAUACCUAGAGACCACUCUGGGAGGUUUGCUAGGCCCUGGGACCUGGCCAGCUCUGUUAGUGGGAGAGAUCGCUGGCACCAUAGCCUUAUGGCCAACAGGUGGUCUGUGGUGAAAGGGGCAUGGAGUUUCAAUAUCAAUAAACCACCUGAUAUCAAUAA